GAGUUACUAGCUCAGUAGGUAGAGCACUUGACUUUUAAUCAAGUGGUCCCGAGUUCGAGCCUCGGGUGGCUCA
rnacentral:tRNA from 1 species